rnacentral:rRNA from 1 species
GUGCACGCUGGCGGUAGGCCUAACACAUGCAAGUCGAACGGCAGCACAGUAAGAGCUUGCUCUUACGGGUGGCGAGUGGCGGACGGGUGAGGAAUACAUCGGAAUCUACUUUUUCGUGGGGGAUAACGUAGGGAAACUUACCCUAAUACCGCAUACGACCUACGGGUGAAAGCAGGGGAUCUUCGGACCUUGCGCGAUUGAAUGAGCCGAUGUCGGAUUAGCUAGUUGGCGGGGUAAAGGCCCACCAAGGCGACGAUCCGUAGCCGGUCUGAGAGGAUGAUCAGCCACACUGGAACUGAGACACGGUCCAGACUCCUACGGGAGGCAGCAGUGGGGAAUAUUGGACAAUGGGCGCAAGCCUGAUCCAGCCAUACCGCGUGGGUGAAGAAGGCCUUCGGGUUGUAAAGCCCUUUUGUUGGGAAAGAAAAGCAGCAGGUUAAUACCCCGCUGUUCUGACGGUACCCAAAGAAUAAGCACCGGCUAACUUCGUG